UUGGUUAGUGUUUUCUUCCCCGCAACUUUGUCUCCACUCAGAGCAGGAAAAGGCGGCAACCAGGUCUGGCUCAGAGGACUGCUCACCGCGUCCAACCGGCGUCCGCUCGGCCCGCUGCAAGUUCCCCGGGGAGACCCAAGAACUGUGUCCCGGCGACUCUGCAAAAAGAUGAAAGGCAGGGGCGCGGCCCGCGGUCCUCGUCUCGUCCGCGUGUCCCAGCUGGAAAAGGCCACGCCGCGUGCAGGGCCGCAUGCAUGCUUAAGAGAGUUGUUGGUGAAGGUUGUGUGAGGGAUGCAGGUGGGCUGACAAAGAACACUUAAGCUGGAAAUUCCACACUGAGGUUGGACAUGGAGAGGGAAAGAAAAAUAGAGCAGGGACUAGCCGGGGAAAUGUGCUCGGGGUUGGUGCAGCAAGAUGCUACAGGAAACCAAUGAUGUCAAGUUGUAUGGCUUAGAGCAAGACAGCUAAUACCUCUCUGGUUAUCACAUUCCUCAUCUGUGAAAUAGCAAUCAUGAUGAUGAUCUAAGGUGAUGUGAGGAUGACAUAGAAUACGCCCCUUCAUGCCCAUCUCAGAACAAACACAAUCUGCAUUCAGAACAGGACCCUUUACAAGUUGAAUGGAGUUAUUUUGGAUGUGACUCAUGGUUUAAUCCCCCAAGGGCCAGAAGCUCUACUUCAAAGAAAAAAGGAAAAUAAGAAAGAGCUGAAGUAUGGGAAUCUUUUCAACUGUUACAACGCUUCAAAGUAUAUUUGUUUUCCAUUCUUCA